UGGGUAGCAAAAAGUUCUUUUGGGGUUUUCCGUAACAUCGUAUGAUAAAACCUGAAUGAACUUUUGGCCAACCCAAC
rnacentral:miRNA from 1 species